CAGCCACAGGGGCAGACUAACCCCGGAGCCCACUCCCUGCCUGGGUCUGUGUGAGGAAGAGCCCGGGCCGGAGACUAGGAGGCAUGGAACAAAGUGUUUGCAUCUGCGUGGCCGCAUCAGGAGAAAUUCCUGGGAGGCUCGGGACCUCGGGGCGACCCCUGGAAAAACCUGGCAGCCCUCUACCCUCUUUUCAGUGCAUUUGGGGCCUGGCUGGAAGGCCCCUCCGGUGCUCAAAGGGCUGCUGCGAGAACAGAGGGAGAGCUCUCCAAACCCCAGCACGGUUCUCAGUCAUCAUGAGACCGGAACACAGAGGCCCACACACGACCGCUGGACAUGUUUAAGAAAAUGCCAAUGUAUUUCCACUAGAAAAAUCCUCUUUUCCUAAAUACAUGUCUCUAUGUUGAAUAAGUUAAAAUAGCAUCUCC
rnacentral:lncRNA from 1 species